GGAGAGUAGGCUAAAGGUAUAACAUUUUUUUUUAAUUUUUAUUUUGCUUAUUUAUAAGGUCCUUAAUUUUGACUUAAUGAUUAUUUUAUAUGUAAGUUGUGCUGAAGCUUAGAAAUUUAGAUUUGCAAGCAUUGAUCCGAAAUUAGAAGAAAAGUUGGAUCAAAUGUUCAUGAGAAUAGUUGCAACUGACAACAAAGCAUGGGCUCCUUCUUCAAGUAUACUCCCUAGUAAUUUAUUUGAGAAUGAAAACAAUGAGACACUUGAAGAAAAUAAAGGAAAUUAGACUUGACAUAGAUGGAGAAAC
rnacentral:lncRNA from 1 species